rnacentral:lncRNA from 1 species
ACCCCAUAGAUUCCAUUCUAUCUAGUAGUGAGAUAUAUUGUGAUAUCUAUCACAAUAUCAUUGAAACUCCUUUCAAUGGAUUGGAAUAAUUUCAAUUCUACCCUUCGAGAGUCAUCGAUCAUCAAGACGAUGAUCGAUGAGUCCCACAAUCCACCAAUGACACCUAGUAGUAUGUAGUGACUACUAGUAAAAUAAAAGUAUGAACCCUUAGAUAUAAUUAUUAUGUGAUUCAGUCUUUCUAUCGUGAGUCUCGACUUGACAG